GAGGCUUUAAGUUAAGAAAACUAAUAUCCUUCAAAGCUAUAAAUAAAGUAGAUUCUUUAAGUCUCA
rnacentral:tRNA from 1 species